CGAACGGGUGAGUAAUGCGUGACCAACCUGCCCCAUGCUCCAGAAUAGCUAUUGGAAACGGGUGGUAAUGCUGGAUGCUCCAACUUGACGCAUGUCUUGUUGGGAAAAGUGUUUAGUGGCAUGGGAUGGGGGUCGCGUCCUAUCAGCUUGUAGGCGGGGGUAAAUGGCCCACCUAGGCUUCGACGGGUAGCCGGCCUGAGAGGGGCGGACGGCCACAUUGGGGACUGAGAUACGGCCCAGACUCCUACGGGAGGCAGCAGAAAA
rnacentral:rRNA from 1 species